CCCAGGUAGUUGGUUAUCACGUCAGUCUAACACACUGAAGGUCGCCGGUUCAAGUCCGGCGGG
rnacentral:tRNA from 1 species